UACGUAGGGACCAAGCGUUGUUCGGAUUUACUGGGCGUAAAGGGCGCGUAGGCGGCUUAACAAGUCACUUGUGAAAUCUCCGGGCUUAACUCGGAACGGCCAAGUGAAACUGUCAAGCUAGAGUGCAGAAGGGGCAAUCGGAAUUCUUGGUGUAGCGGUGAAAUGCGUAGAUAUCAAGAGGAACACCUGAGGUGAAGACGGGUUGCUGGGCUGACACUGGCGCUGAGGCGCGAAAGCCAGGGGAGCAAACGGG
rnacentral:rRNA from 1 species